CAACUUUCCUCUUGUAAGUGGGAUUUUGUUUAAAAGACAACAUCUAUGCACUUAGCUGGAUUCUUGUAAUUUUACCUAUAAAACUAUUCACUGUUCUUUAAAACAAAAUACUGCUGGACAUGAUUACACUGUCCCUAUCUUUAAUAUAAAUAAAGGAAGCAGUUAUAAAUAGUUGAUGAGAAACUCCGCAUGCAUAAGUGAUCUUUAAUUGUUGAGAAGUUUCUACUACAUUCAGCUUGCAGCUGGCUGUAUUGUUAUUUUGUUGGUCACAUUGUAGUUGACUAACUUAUUUAUUGCCUUCCCAGCUAUAUUUUGGGCUUUGGACUGUGCUUUAAUAAGUCCAGAUGGAUUUCAGUCUAAGUAAUACAUUUUAAUCUAUAACCUAAAUUUAAAAACAGCAUUCAUUAGAAGUACUGCUCUAGCACCAAUAUAGAUGGUUACAUUUUUUAUGUGAUCUACAUCUAAACAAGUAAAAUGGCAUACAUUGUACUGAGGCAAGUUGUAUUGUAGUCUUUAAAUAUAACUUUUGAGAGUAAGGGGUAGCAUGUUGGAUCUUGCUAUCGAAGUCCAUAAUCCGGAUUUUGUUCAGCUGAGAUGUUCUGGAUUUUUAAUUAACUUGCACAUAUUCAGCAAAAUCACAGAAUCACACAAUCACAGAAUAGCCCGGGUUGGAAGGGACCUCAAGGAUCAUGAAUCUCCAACACCCCUGCCCCCCCGCCACAGGCAGGGCCACCAGCUUCCACAUUUAAUACAAGACCGGGCUGCCCAGGGCCACAUCCAACCUGGCCUUGGACACCUCCAGGGAUGGGGCAUCCACAACCUCUCUGGCAGCCUGUUCCAGCAUCACACCACUCUCAUAGUAAAGAACUUUCCCCUGACAUCCAACCUAAAUCUUCCCUCCUUCAACUUAAAAUAAUUUCCCCUUGUUCUGCUGUUAUCUACCCUUUUAAAGGGUUGACUGCCCUCCUGUUUAUAGCCUCCAUUUGGGUAUUGAAAGGCUGCAAUUAGGUCACCCUGCAGCCUUCUUUUCUCCAGGCUGAACAAGCCCAACUCCCUCAGCCUAUCUUCGUACAUGUAUGUUUAAUUUGAACAACUUAUUACCAUUAAACACUGUUGCAUAAUCAGACAAUAUUCAAAGUUGACUUGCAUUGUUUGGUAUUUUGUUAAGAAAUAUUCUAUUUUGGGCAUAACUGAGAAUUAAUCAACUGAUCUAUAUCCUACAUUCCUCUGAGAAGCAGGUACAGAUCUUAUCUGUGCUGAAAUCAGUAGCAAAUCAGUCCACUGACAAGAAAAAGCUGAAGUUCACUUAAAGGAAGACAAUUGCUCAUAUAAAUGAAAUACAUUUCUAGAUUACUCAAUUUCAUUUUAUUGGCAGUUUAUGACUUAGUGGGCUCUGACUGUUACACACUACACCCCAUGUUCACAUCUCCCUGGCUCAUGCAUUGCUCACUGUCGUGGUGCUGUGUUUGGUUGUACAUCUGUCAGAGACUCCAAACAGACUGCAGCUGCAUUCCCUACCUUGAUAUACACGAGAUCUUUCUUUAUUGUCUCUUUACUCUCACAGUGAGGAUACUGCUUGCUACAUGGUUGUGUUACUGGAAGCUUCUGCAAAAAAAUUGGCAACUAAAAGAGAGCUGCAGUGAUUAGUCAAAGCCCCUGAGACAGUUAAUUUUCGAUUGAAUAAGAAGAUAAAUUUUAUGUUUCCUCUCCAGAACACAAGAGAAGAACUAUGUAUCCCAGAGGACCUCAUGGUCAGAGAAGGAAGACAUAUCAUGGAAGAUACGUCACCUGGUUGCGCGCGGUUUUUCUUCACUUUCGCUUGCUGCUGGCAGAGGAGUGGGUGUGCUUUCCAAGCCGGG
ensembl:lncRNA